CCUACGGGUGGCAGCAGUGAGGAAUAUUGGUCAAUGGCCGGAAGGCUGAACCAGCCAUGCCGCGUGAAGGUCAGUGCCCUUUGGGCGUUUAACUUCUUUUGCGCGGGAGCAAUAAUGCUCACGUGUGGCCAGACGAGAGUACCGUACGAAUAAGCAUCCGCUAACUCCGUUCCAGCAGCCGCGGUAAUACCGGGAUGCACGCGGUAUCUGGGUUUUUUGGGUUUAAAGGGUGCGUAAGGUGUGAUGUCAGUCAGCGGUGAAAUGCCCCCGCUCAACGGGGUGAAGUGCCAUUGAUACUGCCGUGCUGGAAUGCAGAAGCCGUAGGAGGAAUGUGUGGUGUAGCGGUGAAAUGCAUAGAUAUCACACAGAACACCGAUUGCGAAGGCAGCUCACGAAUCCGCGAUUGACGCUGAUGCACGAAAGCGUGGGUAUCAAACAGGAUUAGAUACCCGAGUAGUC
rnacentral:rRNA from 1 species